GGGGCUUGAACCAGAAGGCUCACCGUUUCUUACUGAGGAGGCGGUUCUCCCAUACCCCAUCUCGCUUUUGGUAUGAUACAGGAGUGGGAGGAAAGAUCAUAUUUCACAUUGGCUGCAACCCAAGGA
rnacentral:lncRNA from 1 species